rnacentral:rRNA from 1 species
UACGGGGGGGGCAAGCGUUGUUCGGAAUUACUGGGCGUAAAGGGUGCGUAGGCGGCUCUCUAAGUCGGAUGUGAAAACUCUGGGCUCAACCCAGAGCCUGCAUCCGAAACUGGAGGGCUAGGGUUCUGGAGGGGAAAGCGGAAUUCCUGGUGUAGCGGUGAAAUGCGCAGAUAUCAGGAAGAACACCCGUGGCGAAAGCGGCUCUCUGGAACGGUACUGACGCUGAGACGCGAAAGCGUGGGGAGCGAACAGG